UUAGAGUUUGAUCCCUGCUCAGGACGAACGCUGGCGGCGUGCCUAAUACAUGCAAGUCGAACGCUUCUUUUUCCACCGGAGCUUGCUCCACCGGAAAAAGAAGAGUGGCGAACGGGUGAGUAACACGUGGGUAACCUGCCCAUCAGAAGGGGAUAACACUUGGAAACAGGUGCUAAUACCGUAUAACAAUCAAAACCGCAUGGUUUUGAUUUGAAAGGCGCUUUCGGGUGUCGCUGAUGGAUGGACCCGCGGUGCAUUAGCUAGUUGGUGAGGUAACGGCUCACCAAGGCCACGAUGCAUAGCCGACCUGAGAGGGUGAUCGGCCACAUUGGGACUGAGACACGGCCCAAACUCCUACGGGAGGCAGCAGUAGGGAAUCUUCGGCAAUGGACGAAAGUCUGACCGAGCAACGCCGCGUGAGUGAAGAAGGUUUUCGGAUCGUAAAACUCUGUUGUUAGAGAAGAACAAGGAUGAGAGUAACUGUUCAUCCCUUGACGGUAUCUAACCAGAAAGCCACGGCUAACUACGUGCCAGCAGCCGCGGUAAUACGUAGGUGGCAAGCGUUGUCCGGAUUUAUUGGGCGUAAAGCGAGCGCAGGCGGUUUCUUAAGUCUGAUGUGAAAGCCCCCGGCUCAACCGGGGAGGGUCAUUGGAAACUGGGAGACUUGAGUGCAGAAGAGGAGANG
rnacentral:rRNA from 1 species